rnacentral:rRNA from 1 species
CACACUAUCAUUAACUGAAUCCAUAGGUUAAUGAGGCGAACCGGGGGAACUGAAACAUCUAAGUACCCCGAGGAAAAGAAAUCAACCGAGAUUCCCCCAGUAGCGGCGAGCGAACGGGGAGCAGCCCAGAGCCUGAAUCAGUGUGUGUGUUAGUGGAAGCGUCUGGAAAGGCGCGCGAUACAGGGUGACAGCCCCGUACACAAAAAUGCACAUGCUGUGAGCUCGAUGAGUAGGGCGGGACACGUGGUAUCCUGUCUGAAUAUGGGGGGACCAUCCUCCAAGGCUAAAUACUCCUGACUGACCGAUAGUGAACCAGUACCGUGAGGGAAAGGCGAAAAGAACCCCGGCGAGGGGAGUGAAAAAGAACCUGAAACCGUGUACGUACAAGCAGUGGGAGCACGCUUAGGCGUGUGACUGCGUACCUUUUGUAUAAUGGGUCAGCGACUUAUAUUCUGUAGCAAGGUUAACCGAAUAGGGGAGCCGAAGGGAAACCGAGUCUUAACUGGGCGUUAAGUUGCAGGGUAUAGACCCGAAACCCGGUGAUCUAGCCAUGGGCAGGUUGAAGGUUGGGUAACACUAACUGGAGGACCGAACCGACUAAUGUUGAAAAAUUAGCGGAUGACUUGUGGCUGGGGGUGAAAGGCCAAUCAAACCGGGAGAUAGCUGGUUCUCCCCGAAAGCUAUUUAGGUAGCGCCUCGUGAAUUCAUCUCCGGGGGUAGAGCACUGUUUCGGCAAGGGGGUCAUCCCGACUUACCAACCCGAUGCAAACUACGAAUACCGGAGAAUGUUAUCACGGGAGACACACGGCGGGUGCUAACGUCCGUCGUGAAGAGGGAAACAACCCAGACCGCCAGCUAAGGUCCCAAAGUCAUGGUUAAGUGGGAAACGAUGUGGGAAGGCCCAGACAGCCAGGAUGUUGGCUUAGAAGCAGCCAUCAUUUAAAGAAAGCGUAAUAGCUCACUGGUCGAGUCGGCCUGCGCGGAAGAUGUAACGGGGCUAAACCAUGCACCGAAGCUGCGGCAGCGACGCUGAUGCGUUGUUGGGUAGGGGAGCGUUCUGUAAGCCUGCGAAGGUGUGCUGUGAGGCAUGCUGGAGGUAUCAGAAGUGCGAAUGCUGACAUAAGUAACGAUAAAGCGGGUGAAAAGCCCGCUCGCCGGAAGACCAAGGGUUCCUGUCCAACGUUAAUCGGGGCAGGGUGAGUCGACCCCUAAGGCGAGGCCGAAAGGCGUAGUCGAUGGGAAACAGGUUAAUAUUCCUGUACUUGGUGUUACUGCGAAGGGGGGACGGAGAAGGCUAUGUUGGCCGGGCGACGGUUGUCCCGGUUUAAGCGUGUAGGCUGGUUUUCCAGGCAAAUCCGGAAAAUCAAGGCUGAGGCGUGAUGACGAGGCACUACGGUGCUGAAGCAACAAAUGCCCUGCUUCCAGGAAAAGCCUCUAAGCAUCAGGUAACAUCAAAUCGUACCCCAAACCGACACAGGUGGUCAGGUAGAGAAUACCAAGGCGCUUGAGAGAACUCGGGUGAAGGAACUAGGCAAAAUGGUGCCGUAACUUCGGGAGAAGGCACGCUGAUAUGUAGGUGAAGUGAUUUACUCAUGGAGCUGAAAUCAGUCGAAGAUACCAGCUGGCUGCAACUGUUUAUUAAAAACACAGCACUGUGCAAACACGAAAGUGGACGUAUACGGUGUGACGCCUGCCCGGUGCCGGAAGGUUAAUUGAUGGGGUUAGCGCAAGCGAAGCUCUUGAUCGAAGCCCCGGUAAACGGCGGCCGUAACUAUAACGGUCCUAAGGUAGCGAAAUUCCUUGUCGGGUAAGUUCCGACCUGCACGAAUGGCGUAAUGAUGGCCAGGCUGUCUCCACCCGAGACUCAGUGAAAUUGAACUCGCUGUGAAGAUGCAGUGUACCCGCGGCAAGACGGAAAGACCCCGUGAACCUUUACUAUAGCUUGACACUGAACAUUGAGCCUUGAUGUGUAGGAUAGGUGGGAGGCUUUGAAGUGUGGACGCCAGUCUGCAUGGAGCCGACCUUGAAAUACCACCCUUUAAUGUUUGAUGUUCUAACGUGGACCCGUAAUCCGGGUUGCGGACAGUGUCUGGUGGGUAGUUUGACUGGGGCGGUCUCCUCCUAAAGAGUAACGGAGGAGCACGAAGGUUGGCUAAUCCUGGUCGGACAUCAGGAGGUUAGUGCAAUGGCAUAAGCCAGCUUGACUGCGAGCGUGACGGCGCGAGCAGGUGCGAAAGCAGGUCAUAGUGAUCCGGUGGUUCUGAAUGGAAGGGCCAUCGCUCAACGGAUAAAAGGUACUCCGGGGAUAACAGGCUGAUACCGCCCAAGAGUUCAUAUCGACGGCGGUGUUUGGCACCUCGAUGUCGGCUCAUCACAUCCUGGGGCUGAAGUAGGUCCCAAGGGUAUGGCUGUUCGCCAUUUAAAGUGGUACGCGAGCUGGGUUUAGAACGUCGUGAGACAGUUCGGUCCCUAUCUGCCGUGGGCGCUGGAGAACUGAGGGGGGCUGCUCCUAGUACGAGAGGACCGGAGUGGACGCAUCACUGGUGUUCGGGUUGUCAUGCCAAUGGCACUGCCCGGUAGCUAAAUGCGGAAGAGAUAAGUGCUGAAAGCAUCUAAGCACGAAACUUGCCCCGAGAUGAGUUCUCCCUGACUCCUUGAGAGUCCUGAAGGAACGUUGAAGACGACGACGUUGAUAGGCCGGGUGUGUAAGCGCAGCGAUGCGUUGAGCUAACCGGUACUAAUGAACCGUGAGGCUUAACCUUACAACGCCGAAGGGGUUUUG